GGAGAGCGGGUGAGUAAUACAUCGCUACGUACCUCAUCGAGGGGGAUAACUACAGGAAACCGUAACGGUAAUACCGCAUAUACGUCCUGAUCGGACCAAACAGGGGGACCGUCCGCCCUCACGCACAUCAGAUAGGAAAUAUGUAUUGGAUUAGCUAGCAUGGUGGGGUAAUGACCUCACCUAGGCAGACGAUCACUAGCUAGUCUGAGAGGACGACCAGCCACACUGGCACUGAGUACACAGUCCAGACUCCUACGGGAGGCAGCAGUGGGGAAUAUUGCACAAUCGGGAGCAAGCCUGAUGCAGCCAUGCCGCGUGUGUGAAGAAGGCCUUCGGGUUGUAAAGCACUUU
rnacentral:rRNA from 1 species